CUGGUUCAAGCCCCAGUUCCACCAGUCCCAGCCAUGUGGCCAUGUGCCACGUCACCUCUCUUGGUUUCAUAGGUAAAGGGGGGACAAGAACCUCCCCUAAUGGGUCAGCAUGAGGGGCCAGUGGGACAAGUUAGUAAACUACAUUAUUAAGCAAGUAGUCACCUGCAUUUUUAAAAGACUUCCUGGGGCAAAUGGGCUUGAGAUGGGCCCUGUAGGUUUUGGGUAGGAUUGAAGGUGCAUUGCAGUGCUCUGAUAAGUCCUCCCUCCUGAAAAUGGGCGUCCUCUCUGGAUUGAUCUGGUUUGGUCCCUCUCCUCCCCUCCACUGCACUCUGGAUGGCUACAGAGAUGGCAGAGUUUGCUGACGUCAUCUGCCGAAGCUCUUUCUAUUCCAGAACUUGCCCUUUCUCCGUGGCUGAUGAGCCUGGUUUGUGUAUCCAAGCAACCAGAUGGCUGAAGUCCCCUGAGCCAUUAGAAUCCAUUGUUUACUCCUUUAGCUCUGAAAGGUCUGGGUGGGUACUGGUGAGCUCCUGGGGAACCCCCCUUUUCUUUAGAAUCUUCUGGAAGACUGGGGCUUCCAAAUCUGGAGGCUAAAAUGAUUCUGGGCUCUCGGGAUUAGCGAAGGGGAAGGGGUCAUGUUUGCUUGGUAGAUCACAGCUUAGGCCUGGACUCUGCCUCCAGCCUCCCGGGCAGUGUACAGAGGGGUUACUGAUUACCCACUGUCUGCCUCAGUGCAUCUCACAAUCUGCCUUGCUCACCCCCUACAGCCAUAGCCUUCAAGAUGCCAUACCAGUUGCCACUGCAGUUCUCGACUGCUUCUAAUGUGUUUGGACCAGAAAUCAGCUGUGUUUAGUAAAACUUCUGGGGCCUAGAACCUCCUUGUUGUUCCCAUGGGCUCACGCUCACCUCCCUAGCUGGGGUUGGGGUGGGGGUGGAGGGUGGCUGAAGCACAGUUGAGCAAAAGGCCUGUGAUCCUCCUGGCCUGGGGUAAGAUGGUCCUGAGCGAUCGCGACCCCACUGCUGGACAGACUUCAAACUAGGCAUCAGAACAGAGGGUGUCCUUCCAGUCACACCCCACACCAGGGGUGGGGGGUGGAAGUGCAAGCAACAAGGGGCAGGAAUACGCACUCAGGGGAACACGCAAAUUCACAGCUCCCGAUCCCCACACACUCCCCACCCCCCAAAUAUAGAAUAGAAUCAGUGCCUCUCAGGGGGACGAUAUCCUCCGGCUCACUGUGACGCCCCUCCCCACCCCGUCCCCAGACUCACCGCCCCAUCUCUACCCUGGGAGGUCAUAAGCGCCGCCCCAGCACGGUGGUGCGGAGGGAGCAGUAGCCCGGCUGUCCCGCGUCGCUGCCACCGCCCUUCUCCGAGCCUCAGUUUCCCCCGCUCACGUCUGGACGGUGGGAGCGGGCCGAGAACUCGAGGCUGCCAUCUGAGGCCUGGAGACGCCGACUCCGGGCCCAGCGCGCGGCAGGAUUGUGACUAUCACCUUGAAGUAUCAGUGACAGAACAGAGUGGACUUCACGUGGGGCACGAGUGGAUCCGAGUGUGCAAGGGUGGUUCAAAGGGUAAAGGAGAUGCCAGACGGAUAGAGAAGCCAUUCCCAUGCCCCAGGAGCCCCCGCCUGCUAGAGGAGACGCAAGGGCAGCCGCCUCUCGGCCAUCCAGUGUGGACCUGAGGGGCCCUGGGAGAGGGCGUUGAGCAGCCUCAGGGGAGGCAGACGGCGUGUCAAGUGGGACAAGCUGUCACCCUCUCGACGGUACAUUUAUUAAGGCUGACUGCACCAGACCCAGGGCUGGCCUGACAACCCUAAGGUGAAUCAGACUGGCCUUUGUCUAAGGAGCUCACAGCUUUGUGGGGCAGGUGUCCCUUACUCAGCUGGAUGAAGCUUCAAGGUGGUGGAGCCACAAGUUGGAAGGAGCCUGUUUUCCCAAGUCUCUGCAUGGAGGAGAGAUAACCAGAAAAGCUGACUGACAUGGUUCAGAUUUUACAUCGGGAUGUCCUGUUCUCUGUGUCCCCACGGUACUGUCUGAGCCCAGCCCUCUCCUUGUCUCUUCCGGGAAGCCACCUGCGGAGGCAGCAUUCUGAAGACGUUCCCCUGAGAUGCCUGUUCCCUGGUUGGCCAAUCAAACAGGAAUCCAGGAACUGCUGUGACGGGCCUUUGCAGAUGGAGUUAAGGCUUCGAAGACGGGGAAGACGCCAUAAGCCAAGGACUGCGGGGGGCUGCUGGAAGCUGAGACCAGCCAGCAUCCUCCAUCCUGCCACCGCAGGGAACUGAGUCCGCUCACAACCUGAAUGAGCUGGGAAGCAGGUUCAUCUCCAGAGCCUCUGGAAAGGAACACGGCCCUGAGGACACCUUGAUUUUGGCUCUCCGAAACCUGCAGGAGAGAAGCAGCAGAGCCUUCUUGUGCCCAGACUUCUGGCCUAUAGACCGUGAGUUAAAAGUGGGUGUGGCUGUGUUGCUAAAUUUGCGGUAAUUUGUUGCAGCAAGUAGAAAACGAACACAUCGUCUGUGCAUUACGUAGGGCCACAGGUCUGUGGCCGUCUCCCUCCCGAGAGGUCUGCUUGCCCUCCACCUGACUCUCAGCCCGUGACUGCUGUGACGAGCGAGUGAGCACAAGUGAAGCUGUGUCAGUCCCGGGCCUAACCUUCCAGAGGUCCCUCGGAGCCUUGAGCUGUCAGGUGUGACAUUUGACUGUGCAGUGACUGCCACCUGGAGAGGCCACGUGGAGAGAGGAGAUUCCUGGCCAGUUCCAGCUCCCGGCCAUUUAAGUCAUCCUGGCUGAGGCCCAGACAUCAUGGAGCGGAGACACAUCAUCUCUAUUGUACCCUGUCCAAAUCCCUGAUCCACAGUAAUGUGAUAAAAU